GGCUCUGUAGUGUAGCGGUUAGCACGUCUGCUUUACACUCAGAAGGUGCUGGGUUCCUGGGUUCGCACCCCAGGUAGAGCCA
rnacentral:tRNA from 1 species